rnacentral:rRNA from 1 species
AACGAACGCUGGCGGCGUGGAUAAGACAUGCAAGUCGAACGAGAGGCUUUUAGCUUGCUUUAGGUCUCUAGUGGCGGACGAGUGAGUAACACGUGAGCAACUUGCCCAGAAGAAGGGGAUAGCCCGUGGAAACGCGGAUUAAUACCCUAUGUGAUCGCAAGAUUAAAGGUGGCUUCGGCUGCCGCUUCUGGAUGGGCUCGCGGCCUAUCAGCUAGUUGGUGAGGUAAAGGCUCACCAAGGCGACGACGGGUAACUGGUCUGAGAGGAUGAUCAGUCACGCUGGAACUGAGACACGGUCCAGACACCUACGGGUGGCAGCAGUCGAGAAUCAUUCACAAUGGGCGAAAGCCUGAUGGUGCGACGCCGCGUGGAGGAUGACGGUCCUAGGAUUGUAAACUCCUGUCAUCAGGGAGUAAAGCACAGUCGUUAAUAGCGAUUUGUGCCUGAUAGUACCUGAAGAGGAAGGGGCGGCUAACUCCG